AUCGAUUUUCUCCCAACCCUAAUACACUACACAUAUUUCUUUUGUUUUUUUUUUAAUUUUUAAUUUACAUAUACGUGUGAGGCGUGCCGGCAUACAUAUGCAGAACGCAUUUAAAGUGGCCCUCGUUAACAGAGCUAAGACAUAUUUAUGUACAUAGGAAUACAACAUCAAAAGGUGGUAAAGGGGAUGCACAUCAAGGUUUUUACAAUGUAUUGCUUGCAGAAAAUACGAUUGCGGUAGACUGUUUAUAUAUACUUAAAAUAUGGCUAUGCUACAAGGAAUCCAGUCUUAUUUUUCUAAACUUAGUCCUCUGGCUGAAAAGAUUACCCGCGAUAUAAGUCAGGCGAAGUCCGCUUAUAGCCCAGAUGCAUGGCUUGGGUUAUCUUUGUCAGAACAGGAAAAUAUUGUCAACGAUCAUUUUAUAAAACCUGAAAUAUAUAUUAAGUACUUUAAUAAGACUAAGCCGGAAUGUUCAGCGAAAGAAAACAUCGACAGUCGGAAAUUGCGAACUGAAACUAAAGAAAAUAUAUCUAAAAGCGACCAACAUCACUGGCAUAUGAACGACGUUAUAUAUAGCUUUAACGGUAAAAACCUGCACACCUUUUUUUAUCAAAACGUGGGUCUGAAAGUUUUACACGAUGAAAAUACCCGUGACUACCGCGAUGAGCAUUCCUUCCCAUUUAGUUAUCGAACCAAAUCACAAAUAAAUAUCCCAGCAGCUUUUA
rnacentral:sRNA from 15 species